rnacentral:lncRNA from 1 species
CAAAAGUGAAAAUGAAGCAAAAGGAAUCACCUCCCACCCAACUCUGGUCAAUAGUUACGUCUUCUUUCCUCCCUCAUCUUCAGGGCUUAAAGAGUUUUGGAUCGGGGUGGGUGAAAGUGGGAGUGGGUUGCACGCCGAACUAUUUCCCUAACUCCGAAACCACGAAUCUCUUCCAUCUCUUCUCUUUCCUCCUCCUCAUCCUCUUCUCUCUUCUCUCUCCCUCCUUCCCUCGCGCAUUCUCCAUUCUAAUUUACAGCACAACUUCCUAGAUUAGUUUUCUGGUCUGGAAAGAUUUAUUCAUUUGGAAGCAUUAAGUUUCUAACUUCAAGUUCCCAACUGUCGUGAAGUCCGAUUUAAAAGCAAAAUAAGAACCACUACGUUUUAACAGGGGUUAGUGCAAAAUCUUUUAAAGAAAGUUGUUUCGUGAUUGUGGGAGGAACCUCGACUCUGCAGGUGUCAGCGCUGCAAGGGCUGAACCCUGAUCGCCAGUAGGUCUGCCGAGCCUAGCAUGGGCUGUUGCCCGGCAAAACACAGAGCCCAGCGAGACCGCGACCGAGGAAAGGAGUCUGCAAACGCGCUUCAGAAGGAACUGGGACCAGAGCCCUAGAAAACUAGAGCGAGCGCAUUUCCCGGCAGGGGAACCCGCAGGAGACUGAAAAAAAAGAGAGAGAAAGAAAGAAAAAAAGAAACCCACCCCCGCGCUCUUAAACCUAGCGCGAGCAAGCGAAUGCGCGGGCUGGCUGGGCUGCUCCAGCUGGAAGUCAUUGUGCCGGCUGGCGUCUGCGUUGUCAAGGCGACCGCCCGGCCGGCGCCAGCGGAGGGGGGAGGCGGGCUCGGUGAAUGGGUGACGUCACGCGGCCGGCGCCAGGCAGUCUGGGCAGCCGAGCCAAUGAAUCAGCUGUCGGGGGGAGGGAGGCGGCGCGCGGGAGGAGGGUGCAGGAAUGCGCCCGGAGCCGCGCGGCCCAGGCCGGCGGGAGGCGCCUCCGCCCCGCCCCGCCCCUCCCUGGGCGGCCGGAGCCUUCCAGGCUCUGCCAUCGAGGUCCUCCCUCCUCCUGGCGCCCGGGCUGCAGCUCAGCACCGCAGG